UGGGGAAUAUUGGACAAUGGGCGCAAGCCUGAUCCAGCCAUGCCGCGUGAGUGAUGAAGGCCCUAGGGUUGUAAAGCUCUUUCACCGGUGAAGAUAAUGACGGUAACCGGAGAAGAAGCCCCGGCUAACUUCGUGCCAGCAGCCGCGGUAAUACGAAGGGGGCUAGCGUUGUUCGGAUUUACUGGGCGUAAAGCGCACGUAGGCGGACUAUUAAGUCAGGGGUGAAAUCCCGGGACUCAACCCCGGAACUGCCUUUGAUACUGGUAGUCUUGAGUUCGAGAGAGGUGAGUGGAAUUCCGAGUGUAGAGGUGAAAUUCGUAGAUAUUCGGAGGAAAACCAGUGGCGAAGGCGGCUCACUGGCUCGAUACUGACGCUGAGGUGCGAAAGCGUGGGGAGCAAACAGG
rnacentral:rRNA from 1 species